AACCUUAUUAGGCGAUUCUAGCUUCCAAAAACAGUAGUUACCAGUAUCUUUACUUUCUGUCUGUUGUCCGUUCCUUUUCUAGCCCCCCUUCCAGGCAAAAACUCCUUUAAUCUGGUUCCCUCUGCCGUUUCCUCUCCAACGCUCGUCUGACGAACUCAGGCAACCCUUCCUCAAGUCACCACUGAAUCGACCCCCAGUUGCAACCCCAACAUUACUGCCUGCAGGCACGGGCCUCCACUGCAAACAAGGUAGGGACCCCUUAAUGUAAAACCAUCUUCAAGGCCAGAAUCUCGCCCGAAACGUUUCUGGUCACGACACCUUUUCCAGAUCUGAUUUGAAUCAGAUUGAAAGCUGCAUCGAAGUUAACCUUCACUUCUGCGUCGAAUGGGGGACUCCACAUCGCAAAAACAUUAGAUCUGGAAUGUGAUUUCUCCUCUAUCGUAUCAAGUUCAUACAAACAGCUUGUAGUCCAAUCUGCAAUAUCUUUACUAGAAAGCUUUUUCCCUUCAUACACUGAUUGAUUCCUGUUAAACCAAAUACCCCAAAGACCACAAUAGAACACCUUGUACUGCUCGUUAGCACUACUUAUGAAAAUGCAGGGCUUACCCGCAAGAUAUGUUCGAUUGACUCCAUUGCUCCAAGACAUUUGGGACACAAGUAAUUUGCAGCUACCCUUUUGUAGUUUAGAUUGAGUAACAUAGGAAGGAAAUUCCACAAAGCUCUCCAAACUAUAAUUUUAAUUUUUGAAGGGUUUAAGGCCCUGUUGUGUAUAAUUUUCAUUAGCGGGUAGUAUACCCUAUUGUAAUAGUUUGUAGGCACUCCUUAUAGAGAAUUCAGCUGAUGGCUCACCCCUCUAAA